ensembl:lncRNA
CACACAUGGGGCAAAAGAGAAUUAAAUUCGAGUGCUCAAUGCUUAAACGUGAAUAAAAUCCUCAUGUUAUUACUAUAGGAGCUCCUUAAUGCAAGGACUUUUCUCACUUACGUUCGUUAGCUCGUCACACUCCCUGUGACUCUCAGCGAGCAUGUUCCCCAUGCUCUGCACUGUGCUUUGCAGUGUCUCCACCUGGUGUUUCAGGAUCGCCUUCUCCACCUCCAGCUGAGCAAUGGUCUCCAUAGCUUCUGCACUGUUCCUCUGAGUGUCUUCACUUGGUUGGUCAGGUUCGCCUUCUCCACCUCCAGCUGAGCAAUGGUCUCCUCAGCCUUCUGGGGUUUCUCCUGAGCUUCAGCCAAUGAGACCU